GGGGCUUCGGCAUCACGAAGUCUGACCGAGCACGCCGCGUGAGUGAAGAAGGUUUUCGGAUCGUAAAACUCUGUUGUUAGAGAAGAACAAGGAUGAGAGUAACUGUUCAUCCCUUGACGGUAUCUAACCAGAAAGCCACGGCUAACUACGUGCCAGCAGCCGCGGUAAAAAGCGGUAAUAA
rnacentral:rRNA from 1 species